rnacentral:lncRNA from 1 species
UCCUGAGCUCAGGUGAUCUGCCCGCCUCUGCCUCCCAACGUGCUGGGAUUACAGGUGUGAGCCACUGCGCCCGGCUUCGAAUCCAUUUUCCAAACACAUGUAGCUCUGACUGGUCCAGGGAUGAGUAUGUGACACUUAAGUCCAACGAGAUGCAAUGAGACUUUUGUUGUGGCUUCUGGGAGUGCCAGAGGCUCUUUUCUACCAGGCUUAGUCAGCCUUGCAGCCACAGCAGGAGAUGCUAAGAACCGCCCUGAGAGGGAAAAAGAGGAGCAGAGGGAUCAAGAGACACUCAUCAGGAACUGCUGACAUUUGAGCCUCUGGAUCUGGCUGUGCCUGAAACUAACAAGCUACUCCUUCCACAUUCUAGUUAUCUGAUAUUAUAAAUUUAUUUCAUUUAAAGCUAUUUAACUUAGGUUUUGUUGUUGUUGCAUGCAACCAAGAGUGCUGACUGAUACAAUCUUCCAAUUAUAUGCUGUUUUUACUUUAAAAGGGGUGUUUGGUGUCUCAGCCUGAAAGGAGCAGUAAUGGUAGGAUUGAGGGCACAUAGCAAUCCAGGAAGAAGGCAAUGGUACAUAGACCCCUGAAAUCAUACCAGAUGGCCAGUUACUACUCAGUCUCUAGAUUCAGCUGGUUCUGCAAGAAGAGUUAUCAAGCUAUCAGCUUUCUCUUGCAGGCAUCCUUCUGUACCUUUAAGACAGAGCAUCUAAUUAGCUUUGGGUGGUUUCAGUUAGGCGUAUAGUGGAGAAAUUAAGAAAACAUUAAAACCAGGACCAUUGGAACAUGAGGAUGUGCGGCUUAAGAUUUACCCAAGAGGGGCUGACCUCAAUUAGGACGUUGAUGCUGGAUUGGGUGCUCUGGUUUUCCUCUACUUUAAAAACUGUUGGAUCCCUGAUAUGCCAAGACCCCAGAGAGAUGGAGAAACGUUUACGUGCAUGGAGGAAAAAAUAUCUUUUUAGAGUUACAAAGUGAGAAUCACAGUUAUUCUACCACUAUUAAGCCAGAAAAUCAUUGUCUAAAAUGGAUAUUUUUUUCUUUUUUAAUGUGUAAAUGAGCUUCUUGGUUGGUUUAAAGGGGCAAAGAUUCCCAUCAGCCUUCAGAGCUGGUCACUCAUCAGUGGAUUGGUAAAUGCAGAAUGGGGUUCGAGUCUGUAUCUUCUUUAGUGGAACAGUGGGUAAUGUCGUUUUGACUCACGAAUCAGUUUCCUUCACUCUUCUGGGCUAAUGACCCACUUCCUCCGGCUUCCCUUAGCUGCACCUGGUGUUUCUGUGGGAAAGGCCUUCACACUGACAUUCUUAUUUGAUAGUGAAUGUUGAUGGACACCAGGCCUGCUUAUGCACAAGAGCUUCUGACCUGGGAUCAGAGAAGGAAACGGAAUUUUAAAGAAAUGUCUCAAGAGUCAGAGAAGGCAGGAGCCGAGAAGUGAUCACUACUGACCUCAAGCUCAAAGACCUAUGGGAAGUAGCAAAAUUCAACAGGAUGAGUGGUGAAUCCCUGGGUCCUUGGUCAAAGGUCCUGAGGUCCUGAGGUCAAAUCAGAAGAGAAAAUGCAAAUUUGUCCAUGUAAGAAAUUUAUUCCAAAAAGUCAGAUACAAAAAUUUGACUUGACAAAGCAUGGUGGGUUUUGUAAAAAAAAAUAAAUGGUUAUAAAGAGGA